rnacentral:misc_RNA from 1 species
AAGUCGUAACAAGGUUUCCGUAGGUGAACCUGCGGAAGGAUCAUUAUCAAUAUUAUAACGGCCCCGGACGCAAGUUUGGGGACGGCAUAAUUACCGUGUUUAACAUACCUUUGUUGCUUUGGCGGGGCGCCUUUCGGCCAGCGGCUUCGGUCGCUGCGUCCCCGCCAGAGGACCACAACUCUUGCUCUUUAGUGAUGUCUGAGUACUAUAUAAUAGUUAAAA